ACUCUAAUCCAGUGCUGUGAAGAGACAUCAGAGCUGUAGAAUAAAUGAGAAGCCCCACGGUUGUGCAGCUCAGGCCAUAGUCCAGUUGCCAGUGAAAUACUGCUGAUCAUUUUUUCCACUUACCCAGUGAGGUGUAUGUGGAGGGGUAAGCCCCAAAGGGCUCUCACUUCUGAUGCCAAGUGCCCAGCAUGAGCUGCUCUGGUGACAGUGUCAGGUGGGGAGUUUGACUGGGGCAGUACGGCUGUCAAACCAUAACACAGGUGUCCUAAGGUGAGCUCAGGGAGGACAGAAACAUCCUGCGGUGCAGAAGAUCAAGGCUUGAUCUUGAUUUUCAGUACGAGUAUCGCCCAUGAAAGCAGGGCCUCACCAUCCUUCUGACUUUUUGGGUUUUAAGCAGGCAUUCAGGCGACAG
rnacentral:ncRNA from 1 species